UCAUAGGCUGACUUACACGUUUUGCUUUCUCUCUUGAUUUGUAAUUAGAAGUUUCAUUCGUGCAUAUCCACCGGUCCAAAGUGAUAUUACACCAUAUGUUAACGAUUGUCGUGUGACUGUACAGCGGAUAUUUCAGACGGUAUAUAAUAGACUGUUGUGACGCAAUUCAAAAGAAAACUUCGGAAUGAUGUCAAACACAAGCAUUUAUGACAUGUUGUGGGAUGAUAGUAUUUGGUUCCCCGUUCGAUUUCAUCACGAGGAUGGAUCUGUUGACACCGCGUUGGGCUGGUCACAAUUGGUGAACAAACCCGGUACCAACACAUAUUAUCCAAAAGUCCACGACCUUCACUUUGGAAUUCUGGUCGGCGUCGUCUUGGUGAUAAUAAGAUACGUUCUAGAAACGCUGCUGAUAAAACCCCUGGGAUACAAGUUAGGGAUAAAGAAAAAGAAGUUAGUAUACGUGAAUGCUAUACCUUCCCUUGAAGAAGUUUACAAGACGAAGAAAAAGCCAGAUGACAAACAGUGUAUGGGCUUGUCAAAACAGCUGGACAUGCCUCUUAGACAAGUGCAAGUUUGGUUCAGAAACAAAAGGAACAAUGACCUUACACCACCAAUUAAGAAGUUUUGUGAUAAUGCAUGGUCAUUCUUAGUUUUACACGUUUACAUUUAUUUAUGGGGCGACAAUUCUUUGGAAUAAGUCAUGGAUAUGGAGAACAAAAGACUGCUGGACCAACUGGCCAAAACAGCACGUGACGAGUGACCUAUACUGGUACUACACCGUGGAGCUGGGGUUCUACUGCAGUCUGCUCUUUACUAAUAUUCACAGAUCAUAAGCGAAAGGACUUUAAGGAAAUGACAAUGGACCAUCUUGCCACCAUUAGUCUGCUCUACUUUUCCUGGUUGGUCAACUUCGUCCGUAUGGGAAGCUUUGUACUCAUCAUCCACGACAUUGCAGACCCCUGGUUAUCGGCUGAAGAUAUUCGGAGUGAUACUGAAGAGGGCGAUAGUCUCAGUAGCAAUGGCGACUUGACCCAGAACGGGAAAACCAAUUGUGUUGAUGGUAGUGUCACAUCUGCUGACACAAACGGACAUAUUAAUGGAGCAAAUGCUACUUUAUCUAAGUAUCGAACAAUGGAGCUUAUGAAAUUUAGAUGUGGAAUAUGGACGAAUGGAAUGAAAAAGCGUGAACAUCAGGGUCUGGACGAGGAGUUGUUUUUAAAUUUGUCGGUCCCAUGCUAAACCAAAUAUGAUGGUUAGUGGAAUUUUAUGAUAUGUUGUGUGAAAACAUUUAGGGUCAUAUACAUCACCAUAGUAAUAAUUUAUGCAGUUAAAGUAGAGUAGAGAUUGACAUAAAUAAUGUGUUUCAGAAAUAGUUCCAUUAGGAAUGACUGAAGAAGAUCACUAUUAGUACAAAUAUUAACAAUACUAGGCUUCACAUCUGAAACCAAUACUUGCUUAAGAAGAAUGUUUACUUCAAUUGCUGCAAUUUGCAGAAUGUGUCAAAAUAACGAGAUCUGUGUUCAUUGGAAAUACUCAGUGGAAGUUGGACUGCCGUAUUUAUGACAUAUGUAAGAUAUGCAUACCCGUUUUUGCUUCCAGUAUCUCGAGUGUAAUAAAAAAUAAGGUUUGACUAGCCAAUUAAGGCAAUUUGAUUUAUUAAAUGCACGAAUAUCGGUGAAAAUUCAUGUCUGAAUUCAUUGAUCUUACAAUAUGUUAUCGUACACUCGUGUAAGAGGAUUUAACCGUAUAUAUUAAUGUUGUUUUAUUAUCAAGUGCAUGUCACUUGUAAGAAUUAUGCUGCAAAGGCUUCGCCAAGAUCAGGGUGCUUUUUGUUGUUUUAUCUACGAUUUAUCGAUGCCAAUAUUUCUUUAAAGAAUUAAUUAUCGAUCAUUAAAUUGCUAUCAGAAUAUUAUUAGUUGCAUAAAAAUCAAUCAUUGUGCGUUGUUGUUUUUUAAAUACUGUCAAUUUUUAACAUUCCAAAAAUAACUUGAGAGAGGUGAUUUUUUUAAGAAAUGUGCUUUUAAAAGCGUUGUGGAAUCGACGCCAAGAUCGUUUCACAUACCGGCGUCCUUAAAAUGCUGCUUUCUUCACUAAUUUACUUAUCAUUUUAACGUUAAAUUAAUUUCGAUCUUUUUAGAUUAGUUGUUAUAUAUUGUUAUUGCAAAAUAUUUGCCUUGCCAUUUCUUGUCACUUUG